ensembl:lncRNA
GGACUGAGCUGCAGGUGCCCCGGCCCCCCAAUCCCUGGCCAUCUGUCUGGGAAGGCCCAUUGUGGGGGCUCUGACAUCACAGCGGGGGGCAGCGUGAUGUCACAGGCCCCAUUGUGGAGGCUGAGGCGCCCCCUCCAGAGGCAGCCGCCCAAUCCUAUUAAGCACAGGCUCCGGACAAAGGCAGGCGCUUUGUGUUCUACCCCGACUGAAGCGAGUCCCGGCGCGGAGGGCGGGGCGGAGAGGGGCUGUGCAUUCCAGAGGCCGCCUCCCCCCCGCGGGCCCCGGCCAUGAAGUGGAAUAUUUACUGGAAGGGCUCCUGCUGAAGCUGAAGCUCCAGUAUUUGGCACCUGAUGCAAAGACCUGAUUCGCUGGAAAACGCCCUGAUGCUGGGGAAGACUGAGGGCAGAAGGAGAAGGGGACGACAGAGGAUGAGAUGGCUGGAUGGCAUCACUGACUAGAUGGACACGAAUUUGAGUAAACGCCGGGAGAUGCUGAAGGACAGGGAAGCCUGGCGUGCUGCAGUCCAUGGGGUCGCAGAGAGUCGGACACGCCUGGGCGACUGAACAGCAGUCGUGAGCUGGGACUCAGUGUCCCUCACAGGGCGGGCCUGACGCCUGGACAAGGCAGUGUGGGCGCCCAGGACGCUGCUCCCGGUGGGGAGGGGCAGGGACUGCUCCGGUCCUGCCCCAGCCCCACCGCCAUCCCUCCUGGGGUUUCAAUCCUCCCCAGCUGGCAUCUGCAUCCUUUGAAGGACCUGUCUGGGGACACCUAGGUGGGGGAGGGACAGCCCCUCCAGGAGAGGUCUGCGCUCCGCCCCGGUGCCUCCUAGUGGGUCUCUCCAUCCUUGGCAGAGUGCCCGGGUGUGCAAGGAGGCCAGGGGUAGCUUGGUUUCGGACAACAAAGUCCUCUUUCUCCCCAGCCUGAGGAAUGCCUGGCACCUCUCCCGCCCCCGCCCCAUCCGUAUCUGUUACCCAGACCCAGUGCUCGCUCCGCGGGGCCCAGGCUGGGCAUGGGCUCCGCCCUGAGCCUCUGGGGCAGCGAGGACCCUCUGUGCUGUGGACGUGGCUUCCCUGCCCCUGAGCAGCCUCCCCUGCCUGCCAUCUCUCUUUCUCUCUCUCUCACACACACACACACGCACACACAUGCACACACACACGCACACACACACACGGUCCCCCGGAACAGCCCAGCCCUGGGCUCGCGGGCCUGAGCCCCAUUCAGAACCCAUGGCCGGCCCAGCCUGGGCCGUGGACGCCUGCAGCAGCCUGAGCAGGAGGACGAGCCCCCGAGGGCUGAGCCGCGCAGUAUAUGGAAUCUUAGCUCUCCAACCAGGGGUCAAGCCCCUGCCAGCCAUUGGGAGCAUGAAGUCUUAACCCCUGGACUGCCAGGGAAGUCCCUGUUGUAUGUUCCAGACUCCAUACAUAGGUGGCACCAUACAGUAUUUGUCCCUCUCUGUCUGACUUAUUUCAUUUAGCAUAAUAUCCUCCAAGGGGCUUCCCUGGUGGCUGAGUGUUGGAG